UACAGAGGUCUCAAGCGUUGUUCGGAUUCAUUGGGCGUAAAGGGUGCGUAGGCGGCGCGGUAAGUCGGGUGUGAAAUCUCGGGGCUUAACUCCGAAACUGCAUUCGAUACUGCCGUGCUUGAGGACUGGGAGAGGAGACUGGAAUUUACGGUGUAGCGGUGAAAUGCGUAGAUAUCGUAAGGAAGACCAGUGGCGAAGGCGGGUCUCUGGACAGUUCC
rnacentral:rRNA from 1 species